GACGAACGCUGGCGGCUUGCUUAACACAUGCAAGUCGAACGGAAAGGCCCUGCUUGCAGGGUACUCGAGUGGCGAACGGGUGAGUUACACGUGGGUUAUCUGCCCUGCACUUCGGGAUAAACUUGGGGAACUUGGUCUAAUACCGGAUAGGAGCCAUCUUUAGUGUGAUGGUUGGAAAGUUUUUUCGGUGUAGGAUGAUCUCGCGGCCUCUCAGCUUGUUGUUGGGGUAAUGGGCUACCAAGGCGGCGACGGGUAGCCGGCCUGGGAGGGUGGACGGCCACAGUGGGACAGAGAUACGGCGCAGACUCCGACGGGAGGGAGAAGUGGGGAAUAUUGCACAAUGGGGGCGAGCGUGAUGCAGCGAAGCCGCGUGGGGGAUGACGGGCUUCGGGUUGUAAAAACCUUUCGCGAGGGACGAGGAGUUUUGUGAAGGUACAUAGAUAAGAAGGAACGGCUAACUAAGUG
rnacentral:rRNA from 1 species